GAUGAACGCUGGCGGCGUGCCUAAUACAUGCAAGUCGAGCGAACAGACGAGGAGCUUGCUCCUCUGACGUUAGCGGCGGACGGGUGAGUAACACGUGGAUAACCUACCUAUAAGACUGGGAUAACUUCGGGAAACCGGAGCUAAUACCGGAUAAUAUAUUGAACCGCAUGGUUCAAUAGUGAAAGACGGUUUUGCUGUCACUUAUAGAUGGAUCCGCGCCGCAUUAGCUAGUUGGUAAGUUAACGGCUUACCAAGGCAACGAUGCGUAGCCGACCUGAGAGGGUGAUCGGCCACACUGGAACUGAGCCACGGUCCAGACUCCUACGGGAGGCAGCAGUAGGGAAUCUUCCGCAAUGGGCGAAAGCUUGACGGAGCAACGCCGCGUGAGUGAUGAAGGUCUUCGGAUCGUAAAACUCUGUUAUUAGGGAAGAACAAAUGUGUAAGUAACUAUGCACGUCUUGACGGUAACUAAUCAGAAAGCCACGGCUAACUACGUG
rnacentral:rRNA from 1 species